rnacentral:rRNA from 1 species
CACGUAGGGUGCGAGCGUUGUCCGGCAUUAUUGGGCGUAAAGAGCUCGUAGGCGGUGUGUCGCGUCGGCCGUGAAAACCUGGGGCUUAACUCUGGGCUUGCGGUCGAUACGGGCAUCACUGGAGUUCGGCAGGGGAGACUGGAAUUCCUGGUGUAGCGGUGAAAUGCGCAGAUAUCAGGAGGAACACCGGUGGCGAAGGCGGGUUGCUGGGCUGAUACUGACGCUGAGGCGCGAAAGCCAGGGGAGCGAACGGG